rnacentral:tRNA from 1 species
GGCCGCGUGGUUGCUGGCUUGCGGUGUGGAUUGAAAAUCCGCGUGUCGGUGGUUCGAUUCCGUCCCAGGCCACCA